rnacentral:rRNA from 1 species
AUACGUAGGUGGCGAGCGUUGUCCGGAAUUACUGGGUGUAAAGGGCGUGUAGGCGGGUAUACAAGUCAGAUGUGAAAUACCGGGGCUCAACUCCGGGGUUGCAUUUGAAACUGUAUAUCUUGAGUACAAGAGAGGUAAGUGGAAUUCCUAGUGUAGCGGUGAAAUGCGUAGAUAUUAGGAGGAACACCAGUGGCGAAGGCGACUUCCUGGCUUGUAACUGACGCUGAGGCGCGAAAGCGUGGGUAGCGAACAGGAUUAGAUACCCUGGUAGUCCACGCCGUAAACGAUGGAUACUAGGUGUAGGAGGUAUCGACCCCUUCUGUGCCGUAGUUAACGCAAUAAGUAUCCCACCUGGGGAGUACGGCCGCAAGGCUGAA